rnacentral:tRNA from 1 species
AUCUAAAUAGCUUAAGUUUAAAGUUUAACAUUGAAAAUGUUUAGAUAAUUAUUAAAAAUUUUUAGAUA